GGAUGGGGGACAGCAGGGGAGGGCCCACGGGAUAGCCUCCCUGGCCAGGAGCUUAAGGGCCAGGCAGGAUGGUUCCGUGGGCCGUAGUUUGCCCACCUCUGCACUAUGCCAUGCCUGGCCACAAGAAGAUGCACCUAUGACCAUGGUAGAAAAUGUGAGUCUGAAAAUCUUGUAUUAAAUCUUUUAAAACCUUAGACUUUGGACAAGGCGAUCUACUAGGAGGUCAGCAAAGAAAUCCACCCAUGAACCUAUCAGAUUGCUGCACAGUGGCUGCACAACUGCCCCAACCCAUAGCAGCUAAUACAACCUGGGGCCCCUGCAUGCCCCUGUGCCAGGAGUUUAGGCCUGUGGAUCCAAAAAGUAUUGAAUUUUCUAGUCCUUCACAGAGCUCACACACACUUCUAAGGAAACAGGCCCCAUGCAGCACAGCUCAACAAUGCACUGCUGGUGUGGAAUAUCAACCUCCAGACUGCUUCCAAAGCAGUGGAUCCCAUAGCAACUUCAUUGCAUCAAGCGCCUUCCAUGCCUGUGGGGUGCAGAAAGCAGCAUUUGUCCCCAAAUCCUGAAAAUUUUGAAUAAUUCCUCUGCAGCUGGUUCUGAUGCAAGAUGAUUCACUGAGAUGAAAGGGCACAAUCUCCCAAUAGUGUGCAAUCACUUCAUCAUCAAAAUCGUUUACUGCAUUUGAUAUAAAUGAGGGUGCCAAUGUAUUUUGAAGAUCUCAGUGAGGAUGUCAGUGUAUUUUGCUGAAAAAUUAGAGGAGCACUUCCAGUCUUCAGAUCAUAUUUUUAUAUCAUUUUAACUUUUUUACUACUAGCAUCU